GCCGAUGUGUUAGAGGAUAACUACAGCUAUGAAUAUUCUGUGUUGCUUAAUGGCAGAUUCGCAAGAUGACUACAUUGAUAAAACUUUAUCUAUAAAAAUAUAUCAAAAGAUUUACCUGGAGAAAAAUCGAUUCCUUUACGUGUUCAUCUGGAUCGAAGUCAACUCUUCAUCUCAUAUUUCCAAGUUUUAGUAAAUUGGAUCCCGAUAAAUUGAACUUAUUCUUCAUCUAAUUAUUGAUUCCAUCACUGGAAUGGAUCGGUCUUCUUGUUCCUCAUCCAGUAAUGGAUUGGAAAAGGAAAAAAUGAGAGCGAAAAGAAAUAAUACAUUUGUACAGUCAUCAGUUUAUUUGAUAAAUUACCAUUCUAUAAGGAGUGUGAUCAAUUCAAUAUAUUACACUUCCGUGCAUUUUUUAUUGUGGAUCUUGCCCAGUCUAAAUUUAAUACUUCCCUUAUUCUGCCAAUCUGUGACGUAGUAGGGGAAG
rnacentral:lncRNA from 1 species